GAUUAACGCUGGCGGCAUGCCUAAGACAUGCAAGUCGAACGAAGUGACCCAUUGAAGUUGGAGUGCUUGCACAAAGACAGAUUUGGAUUUCACUUAGUGGCGGAUGGGUGAGUAACACGUGGGUAACCUACCUUUUAGAUUGGGAUAACACAGGGAAACUUGUGAUAAUACCGAAUAGGAAAUAAAAAUGAUUUUUUUAUUUUGAAAGAUGCCUUUAAAGCAUCACUAAAAGAUGGGCCUGCGGCGUAUUAGUUAGUUGGUAGGGUAAUGGCCUACCAAGACAGUGAUGCGUAGCCGAACUGAGAGGUUAAACGGCCACAUUGGGACUGAGACACGGCCCAAACUCCUACGGGAGACAGCAGUUAGGAAUAUUCGUCAAUGGGGGAAACCCUGAACGAGCAAUGCCGCGUGAGUGAUGACGGUCUUUAUGAUUGUAAAACUCUGUUGUAUGGGAAGAACACUAAGUAUAGGAAAUGAUACUUAGCUGACGGUACCAUGCCAGAAAGCCCCGGCUAACUACGUGCCAGCAGCCGCAGUAA
rnacentral:rRNA from 1 species